CCCUUUUCCCUUUCUGCCCUCUGCCAUGUGAGGUCACAGUGUUCCUCCCUCCUGAGGAUGCAGUGUUCAUGAAAGCAAACACUGGGCCCUCACCAGGCAACAAACCUGCUGGUGCCUUCAUCUUGGACUUCCCAGCCUUCGGAACUAUGGAGCCCGCACUCUCCAGUUCAUCACCACCCCAGCAUCCCUACUCUUGCAUCUAACAGUUUCCGCUAUUUUGCACCACCUGCCUGGCCCUUAUGGGCAACUCAAGGAAGAAAGGAAAGAAGAGAUAGAGGAAAAAUGGAUUCAACAAAUGAAAGUGUUCUUUCUGACUACUGCUGUGUUUACAAACAUUUUAAUCAUCAAAACAUGCUUUAUUUGAUAGAAAGAUCAAAUCUGCCUUUGUAAAACAAGAGACUAUUUUAAUCAUUAAGACAACACACAUGUUUGAUUUGGAGGCGUGUUCUCAUUCAAAACCUUGCAAAAUAUAAUUUCUUCUUGUCUGGGAGAUGGUGUCUUUCUUCGGGGAGAACCUUGAGAGAAAUGUCUAUGAAUGUGUCUGUAGAUUGAGGAUAGGCCAACAAACAUAUUUUGAAAUAUUUUUUCUUUCUUUUAAAAAAAUAGAUACUUUUAAAAGAAAAUGCUUAUUUAAAUUACAUAGCUCUUUUUUUCACUCUCAGUCAUCAUUUGUGGUUUCAGUCAGUACUACAUUUAUUCCCCAGAGCUAGGAUUGCUGUGUUUUUAGAAAGGGAGCCUGUUUGAAGGGACUCUAUACUCUUGCAGUAAUUAAAAUCCUUUUAGGAGUCUUUGACUUUGACUUACUGCUUUGUUUUAAAUUAUUGAAAUUAUUCAACUUCCCCAUUCUAACCCACGGAAGGCUGUUGUUGUUCUCAUUUAUAAUGGCACAAUAUAAGUUUAAAGAUAGCUGUCUCCACAUGAAUGCAUCUGCAAAUCCAUCUCUCUUCUCUCUUCUGCCAUCCAGGUUAAGAAGCUCCACUGCGCUUUGUCCAUUGCAAGUUGAGAAGUGAGGCCCCAGCUGUCACAUACAUAGAGACGGGGUUUCUCCAUGUUGAGGCUGGUCUCAAACUCCUGACCUCAGGUGAUUCACCCGCCUCGGCCUCCCAAACUGCUGGGAUUAUAGGCAUAAGCCACCGCGCCCGGCCUUAGGCUCCAUCACAAGAGGGAGCCCCAUUGCUAGUCCCCAUCCUCAAAGCCUCUGCGUGAUGUUGUCUACUGUUACUCUUCACUACCCUGUGGGAGCCAAAGCCCUGGACAUAAGAACAGAAGGCAAGCAGUGGUGGCUGAGAGGAAGAACUGACACCUUUGUGCUAUCAGAGCACUUUGCAGAGGAGCUGUUAGUGGCCCUGUAGGAGUCUGCUGGCCAUACAUCUGGGUGUCAAAUCAAGAGAGCAUGAGAAGUUGGACAGGAAAGGUCCAAGGCAAAAUGGUUACUAAAGGCCAUCCCUGAUCCUGACCCUAAAAGAAGAAAAGGCCCUUUGCUCUUGGCAUGCUUUUGCAGGAGUGUCUCAGUCUGUUUGGGCUGCUAUAACAUUGACUGGGUGAUCUGCCUGCCUGGCCUCCCAAAGUGCUGGGGUUACAGGUGUGAGCCGCUGCACCAGGCCUUGAGGUCAGGAGUUCGAGACCAGCCUGGCCAACAUGGUGAAACCUGUCUUUACUAAAAAUACAGAAAUUAGCCAGGCAUGGAGGCGCAUGCCUGUAAUCCCAGCUACUGGGGAGGCUGAGGCAGGAGAAUCGCUUGAACCCAGAAGGUGGAGGUUGCGGUGAGCCCAGAUAGUGCCAUUGCACUCUAGCCUGGCCAACAAGAGUGAAACUCUGUCUCAAAAAAUAAAUAAACAAACAAACAAACAACAA
rnacentral:lncRNA from 1 species